rnacentral:rRNA from 1 species
CGGAUUGCAGUCUGCAACUCGACUGCAUGAAGCUGGAAUCGCUAGUAAUCGCGAAUCAGCAUGUCGCGGUGAAUACGUUCCCGGGUCUUGUACACACCGCCCGUCACACCAUGGGAGUCGGAAAUGCCCGAAGCCAGUGACCCAACCUUUAAGGAGGGAGCUGUCGAAGGCAGGUCUGGUAACUGGGGUGAAGUCGUAACAAGGUAAC